rfam:Schistosoma mansoni strain Puerto Rico chromosome W, complete genome
AUCCAACUGACGAGUCCAAAAUAGGACGAAACGUGCAUCUUCGAU